UACGUAGGUCGCAAGCGUUGUCCGGAUUUACUGGGCGUAAAGAGCGCGCAGGCGGCUGGUCAAGUCCGAUGUGAAAUCUCCCGGCUCAACUGGGAAACUGCAUCGGAAACUGAUCGGCUUGAAGAUGGGAGAGGGUAGUGGAAUUCCCGGUGUAGUGGUGAAAUGCGUAGAUAUCGGGAGGAACACCGGUGGCGAAGGCGGGUCUCUGGGCCGAUACUGACGCUGAGGAGCGAAAGCGUGGGGAGCGAACAGG
rnacentral:rRNA from 1 species